ACAGGCAUGAUCCGGGCUGGGAAAGUGCCUAGCGAAGCGAAGCCGAGCGAACGUGUUCCUAAGUCUGUUACUUUGUCUGCUACCCGCUGGGCUGAGGCUUUCCGCACAGCCCACGAGUCUACAAGCAACGCACGCUGAAGCUUAGAGUUUAGCUGCUGAAUCUCACAGAUUGAAUUGGGGAAAGUCUCUAAAGACCCUUCCCUCCCUACUGGCCGUGCUCAACCUAAGUGGAUGGGGGCGCCAACAGGAGAGUGCAAAGGAAUUCUUCGCUGGCGCUGGUUUGAUUCUGACUCUUCCUCCAGCACCCCAUGCAAAUCUUCAGGCUGAUUCUGUUUGUACGUUAGCCUAAGCGCAGACGCGCCUGGCCACCCCUCACCAUCUGGCUGUCAGUUUCUAGGAAUGAGGGAUAAGGGCCCAAGAAGUCCCAAGGGAGUACACCUGAAACCCAGCGCCUCUUGAAUAAGACGGCCAGGAAGGGAUAUGAUAUUAGACUGUCCCCAGAUAAAAGAAGCAUCAGUUUCUUCAUAUUGAGGUCCCGUGACCAGCUGGCCAGUGAGUCUGCGACAGAAGGCCAAAGAGUCUAGAGUCUCCUGGAAGCCAGGAGAUGGUGUCCAAACCAAAGGCAAAGACUGGAUGGAGUUCCUCCAAGAAUGGGAUUCAUUUGUCCUUCCUCCUUCGCUUUUAUACCGUCCAGGUGAUGAGCCACCCUAGGAUGGGUCUUCUACAUCCUAGGUUGUAGAGUUGCUAAAGCUAUUUAAUUAAGUUUCUAAAUGCCUCAAAUUGACACAGUCAACUAACCACUACAUUUACUGAUCCUUAGGCUUUGUCAAUAUUCAGCUUAACACUGUAAUAGAUGUUGCUUUUAGUACUACAGUUAAGGUGACAUAGAUUUUGCUAUUAAUUGGUUUUUGGGGAGAUGCCAGUAUCUGGAUUGCCUUAGGGUCAUGGAUCAUUAACAGUACUGUGGCCCAUUCCUGGAGAACUGAAUGCCAGGCUAUAUAUGCUGCAACCUUCCUUCCCAAGUAAACAGAGGUAGUUGAGUCCUGGAAUGGAAGUAAAGGCUGAGAGCCACAUCAAGAGGACACCACUGAAAACUAGACAUUAACUAAGCACGCCUCCAUACUAGCAAAAAAGAUUUCUACUAUAAUUAAUCCACAAGUUUCAACACAAGAAAACAAGCAAACAAAAAAGGAACAUAAGAAGAUAAAGCCAGCAAAAGGUUUUCUAUCAUAGUUUUUCUUUAGAUGUCUUUCCAAAACCUCAUACAUUCAUAGGUAGGGCUGGAUCUAGGGUGUGUGAAUAUGGAUUAAGGGUGUGUAAUAACUAAAUUAAUCCAUUAACUGGUUUAAUAUAGUCUGGAUGUGGAUAAUCGAAAGUCCCACCCUGGGUGUGGGUAUCACUAGUCUAUAAGUAUAUAGCUUGACUGGAAUAAAAGAGAAAGAGAGACUCACUUCCUUUUGCUUUCUGCCUGCCACACAUGAAACAGUCUCCUCUGCUAUGCCCCUGUACUAUGCCACCUUGCCUUGGAACCAGCCAACUAUGGACUGAAACCUUUGCAAAGUGUGAGCUAAAAUAAACUUUUCCACCUUUAUCCUGUGGGAGUCAACUGUUUUGUCCUAGCAGUGAUGAAGUAACUAAGACAUCUCCAAAACCAAACAAGUCCCCAAAGCUGAUCCAUGAGUUAUCAAAGAGGAUGAAACUAAAAGCCACAUGCUAAAAUUAUUUGAAAUGAUAUUAGAGGAGAUAACAGAUCAAAAGGCCAUAUGGCAAGCUCACAGAAACAAACAGAUAAUGGGCCAAAUAAUCAAUACAUCUACAGAAGACUUUACUAAAAAGCUAUCAUAGCUAAACAAAAUGAUGGAAAACAUGAGUUACCAGUAUAGAAAGCAAUUAGAGUUCCCAAAAAAAGAUUUUGAAUAACAAUUUGGCGAUUAAAAAUACUAUCAUAACAAUGGUCAGCAAAAGCAGGAAAUAUGAAGAGAGGGGUAUCAUGCUAGAAUAUAAGGCUGUUGUCAGUGACCAUGUAAUAAAAAAUACCUUAAAAACAAGAAAACAGGAAAAAUAGAUCCACUUGCUGUUAGAUAAUACAAAAUAGAUUUAAAGUUAGUGAAAAAUCAGAAGACAGCACAAAUGACACAAAAAACCUGCUUAACUGAAGUAACAGCAAAAGACUUUCCCAAAAAAAUCUAACAUAAGUGAGGUACAUAGAACCCCAAAUAACCAUGAACAGAAAAAAAACCUCUCCACAAGACACCAUAGGCAAAAGCCCAGAAGCUGAGCAUUAGAGCAUCAUCUUAACUAGAAAAAUGCAAAAAAUCAAUUACAAAGGCAAACCCAUUCAAAUUACAGCAGACUGACUUCUAAACACAAACUUUAGAGGCCAAAAGAACUUGAAGUGUGUUAAGUCCUAAAAGAAAAAAAAAUGCAACCCUAGCUAAUAUAUCAUGCAAAAAUAUCUUUUCAAAUUGAUGUAAAAAUAAGAUAUUUUCAUGAUGAUAAGGAACACCUAAAGAAAUUCACGAAUACAAAACAAACACUCCAAAAAUUCUAGAGGAUGUCUUAGAGAAAAUGAAGCUAACAAUGUCAAAAGGCCUAAUGGAAUGAGCAUACCCAGUAGGGUGAGAAGUUAAUUAGGAGGGAAAGACAGGGAAUCAACAACAUGAAAAUAAGACAAUGAUAGGAGUAAGUCAAACCUAUCAGUAAUAAGUAUCAAUGUGAAUAGUCUCAAUUCUCCAAUCAAAAGACACAGACUGGCACAGUCAAUCAAGAAAACCCAAUGGUAUGCUAUAUGCAAGAAAUAUAUUUAACCCAAAAAGAAAUUCGUAGACUAAAAAAAUCAAAGUAAUAUUUCAUGCAAUAGGAAGCUGAAAAAAAUCAAGUGUUGUUAUUCUUGGCUAUACAUAAAGUAGGCUUCAAGUCAAAGCUGAUUAAAAGACACAAAGAAGGUGUGUUGGUUAUUUUUCUUUCAUUGCUGAAACAAUAUACCUGACCCCCAAAAUUAGAGAAUGAAAGGUUUACUUAGCUUACAGUUUGUGGAGGUUUUAGACCAUACUUAGCUGGCUCCAAGGCAGGGUGGCAUGGCCUAUGGAAAAAAAUUCAUGGCAGCUGUGGUAGAUACCAAAAGUGACAAAAGUGAAAGGGCAAAGGGAGAAAUAAGCCUCUUUCCCUCCCUUAUAUUGCAUGCAAGCUACUUGCCCAGGGCAGGUGUAAGGCUUUGAGGGGACAUCCAGACAUAAACCGUAACAGAAGGUCAUUACAUAAUGGCUUAAGGGAACAAACCAGCAGGUGAUAAUAAUUACCAAACAGUAAUGCACCCAACUUCAUAGAACAAGUACUACCGGACAUAAAAGAUCUGGUAAACUCAAACGCAGUUAUAGUGUUUACCCACCUAUCAUAAGUAGAUCAGCCAGACUUUUUUAAGUCUACAAAGAAAAUGUCAGAGCUGAACAAAACCUUCAAACAAAUGGAUUUAACAUGUAUCUACAGAAUGACCCACCUGACAACUACACAGUACACAUUCUGUACAACAGCAGUAUAUGAAACUUUUUCCAAAUAGACCACACACUAGCAAAUAAAACAAAUGUAAAUAAAUGUAAAAGAAUAGAAAUUAUACCAUGCAUAUUGUCAGAUAAUAACACAAUGAAACUAGAAAUCAAUGGCAAAAUAAAAUAUAGAAAUUAUGCAAAUGCAUGGAAAUUAAACCAUGUGUGCUUAAAUAAACUAUGUACCACAUAAAAGUCAGGGAAGAAAUAAGACAGUUUCCAGAACUAAAUAAUACCAGUACAAGCCAUCAGAGUAUAUGGGAUACAAUGAAAGUAGUUCUAAGAGGAAAGUUUAUAGCUGUACUCACAAAAACAGAGCAUGCCCAAACAAAUAACCCAAUGAUGUAACUCAAAACCCUAGAAAAAAUGAGAACAAUGCAAAUUCAAAUUUAGUAAAUGAAAGGAAAUUUUAAAGAUCAGAACAAAAUCAAGUAAGUCGAGACUAAUGAAUCAAUACAAAUAAACAAUGAAUCAAAGAGUUGGUUCUUCAAAAGAACAAACAAAAUAGACAAACUCCUAGCCAAUCUAACACCAAAAAAAAAAAAGAAGAGAAGAAAAAAACACCCAAAUCAAUACAAUUAGAAAUGAAAAAGUUGAAAUUACAAAAGACACAGCCAACACUAAAGGAUUAAUGACAACUACUUCACAAAUCUAUACACCAGUAAACUAGAAAAUUCAGAAGGGUUCCUUAAUACUUAUGAAUUACCAAACUGAACCAAAAAGAUUUAAAAGCCCUGAAAAAUCCAGUAAUAGGAAUUUAAAAACAAAAACAAAAACCUACCAACUAAGAAAAGGCCAGGUCCGGACGGAUUGUGUUGAUUUAUACAAAACUUCAAAGCAUAUCUAACACCAUACUCAUCAAACUCUUCAAUGAAAUUGAAAGGGAUGAAUCACUCCCCAAGUAAUUCCUGGAAGCUAGCAUUACCUCAAUUCCAAAAGAUCUGAUCAAAAAAGAGAAUUACAGACUGUCUUAGUUACUUUUUUCUCAGUGCUGAGACAAAAUACCCAACACCCAAAAUUAAGGAAAAGAAGGUUUAUUUAGCUCACAGUUGGUGGAAAUUUCAGUCCCUAACUAGCUGGCUCCAAGAUAGGGUGGCGUGGGACGGGGGCAACACUUUGAGUUGACAAAAGACAGCAAAACAACAGGAGCAGAAAAGUGGGGAAGAGAAAGCCUCUUUUCCUCCUUUAUGUUGUAAGCAGGCUAUGCCCCUGGGUGGGGGUUUAGCAGUCACAGCAUCUUGCGCCCUCUUGCAGGAUGUUUACAAAGUAAAGAUCCUGGCUCCCUGCUGGGUAACUUAGUUAAAUUUCUAAACUUUCCAAGUUGACACAACAUAUCAGCCAUAACACAGAUCAAUCUCUUUAAUGGAUAUAAAUGCAAAAAUCCUCAACAAGAUAUGGCUGUUACGAAUUAAAUGUAGAUGUUCCCCCAAAGCCUGAUGUGCUCAGAGGUUACACUUUUGAGAAGUGACUGCAGCAGCCAGUCAUGGUGGUGUACACCUGUAAUCCUGGCACUUGAGAGGCUGAGGCAGAUGGAUUGACAUGAGUUCAAGCACAGUCUGGGCUACAUAGUAAGUUUAAGGCACCCUGAACUGCACAACAAAACCCUGUCUCAAAGAGAGAGAGACAGGCAGACAGAGGUUGAAAGAGAGAGAAGUGAUUGGAUCCUGGGCAUGUGAUACUAGGUACUGGAUUAAUCUAUUGAUUGGUUUGUCAUAGUUUUGGGUAUAUAUGAUGAAUUUAUUACAGAGGGAAGACCUGUACUCUAUGUGGGUGGUGUCAGCCAAGAGCCUUGUACCCUAGAUGGAAUAAUAUCUUCUGUCAUGUCCCUUUGCCAUGCUGCCCUACCUUGGAAGCUGAUGAUGAACUGAAAUCUCUACAAACUAUGAAAUAAAAUAAACCUUUCCUUCAGCUUA